AUUCAGUUGAAGAGUUCAAAAUAGAACGAAAUGCGCGUUUUGAAU
rfam:Schistosoma mansoni strain Puerto Rico chromosome 3, complete genome